CACGUAGGGACCAAGCGUUGUCCGGAUUUAUUGGGCGAAAAGAGCUCAUAGGCGGUUCGGUAAGUCGGGUGUGAAAACUCUGGGCUCAACCCGGAGAGGCCACCCGAUACUGCCGUGACUUGAGUCCGGUAGGGGAGCACGGAAUUCCUGGUGUAGCGGUGAAAUGCGCAGAUAUCAGGAGGAACACCGGUGGCGAAAGUGGUGCUCUGGGCCGGUACUGACGCUGAGGAGUGAAAGCGUGGGUAGCAAACAGG
rnacentral:rRNA from 1 species